rnacentral:lncRNA from 1 species
UUAUAGAUAUAAAUAGAAAGAAAGAAAGAAAGAAAGAAAGAAAGAAAGAAAGAAAGAAAGAAAGAAAGAAAGAAAGAAAGAAAGAAAGAAAGAAAGAAAGAAAGAAAGAAAGAAAGAAAGAAAGAAAGAAAGAAAGAAAGAAAAAGAAAGAAAGAAAGAAAGAAAGAAAGAAAGAAAGAAAGAAAGAAAGAAAGAAAGAAAGAAAGAAAGAAAGAAAGAAAGAAAGAAAGAAAGAAAGAAAGAAAGAAAGAAAGAAAGAAAGAAAGAAAGAAACUGAUGUG